rnacentral:rRNA from 1 species
UUCCACAUGAUCGCAUGUGAUUGUGGGAAAGAUUCUAUCGGCGUGGGAUGGGGUCGCGUCCUAUCAGCUUGUUGGUGAGGUAACGGCUCACCAAGGCUUCGACGGGUAGCCGGCCUGAGAGGGCGACCGGCCACAUUGGGACUGAGAUACGGCCCAGACUCCUACGGGAGGCAGCAGUGGGGAAUAUUGCACAAUGGGCGCAAGCCUGAUGCAGCGACGCCGCGUGAGGGAUGGAGGCCUUCGGGUUGUAAACCUCUUUUGUUUGGGAGCAAGCCUUCGGGUGAGUGUACCUUUCGAAUAAGCGCCGGCUAACUACGUGCCAGCAGCCGCGGUAAUACGUAGGGCGCAAGCGUUAUCCGGAUUUAUUGGGCGUAAAGGGCUCGUAGGCGGCUCGUCGCGUCCGGUGUGAAAGUCCAUCGCUUAACGGUGGAUCUGCGCCGGGUACGGGCG